AGGGAUUGCCCUAGUAACGGCGAGUGAAGCGGCAAUAGCUCAAAUUUGAAAGCUGGCCUUCUGGUCCGCAUUGUAAUUUGUAGAGGAUGCUUUUAGGCAGCCGCCGGUCUAAGUUCCUUGGAACAGGACGUCAUAGAGGGUGAGAAUCCCGUAUGUGACCGGCUCUGGCACCUUCUGUAAAGCUCCUUCGACGAGUCGAGUUGUUUGGGAAUGCAGCUCUAAAUGGGAGGUAAAUUUCUUCUAAAGCUAAAUACCGGCGAGAGACCGAUAGCGCACAAGUAGAGUGAUCGAAAGAUGAAAAGCACUUUGGAAAGAGAGUUAAAAAGCACGUGAAAUUGUUGAAAGGGAAGCGCUUGCAAUCAGACUUGGCUUCGGUUGUUCAACAGGUCUUCUGACCUGCCUAUUCAAUCGGAGCCAGGCCAGCAUCAGUUUCGGCGGCCGGAUAAAGGCCCUGGGAAUGUGGCUGUUCCUUCGGGGACAGUGUUAUAGCCCAGGGUGUAAUACGGCCAGCUGGGACUGAGGUCCGCGCUUCGGCUAGGAUGCUGGCGUAAUGGUUGUAAGCGGCCCGUCUUGAAACACGGACCAAGGAGUCUAACAUCUAUGCGAGUGUUAGGGUGUCAAACCCUUACGCGUAAUGAAAGUGAACGGAGGUGAGAACCCGCAAGGGCGCAUCAUCGACCGAUCCUGAUGUCUUCGGAUGGAUUUGAGUAUGAGCAUAGCUGUUGGGACCCGAAAGAUGGUGAACUAUGCCUGAAUAGGGUGAAGCCAGAGGAAACUCUGGUGGAGGCUCGCAGCGGUUCUGACGUGCAAAUCGAUCGUCAAAUUUGGGUAUAGGG
rnacentral:rRNA from 1 species